rnacentral:lncRNA from 1 species
AUGGAAAAAGCAAGGUGUUAUUUAAACUGUUUGGUAAAACAACAGAGACAACACUGUGAUGUCACCAGUUCCCAUGGAUUUAAUUACCAUCUCUAUGCUGAUGAUUCUCAGGUCUACCUUUCCUGCCCCAAUCUCUCUGCUGACUCCAACUUGAAUCUCCAUCUGCCUUUCAGACAUCUCAAACUGGAGGAGUGGCAGAGGGCCUGGUGACGAGCACUUCCUUCCGGCUGUAUGGGACUUGCUUCCGGGUGUUGGAGGAGGAAGGAGCUUGUCAGCCCAGUCUGGUGUGGUGUGCCUCUUUCUUGGUUCAGCCUGAAGAUUCAAGUCCAAUCUCUUCUGAAGAUGCAGAAUGGCCAAUUCCACGCCGGAGGGUCAACAACUGUGCAUCAACAGAGGUUGCCCAACCAAGAGCACUCAGUUUAA